CUUUCUGACACUAGACAUUUGGUGUCUUCAUAGGUCCUAAAUUCACACUGUCUCUUUCCAGGUUUUGUCAUCUGUCCUAGGACCCCUUGCUGAAGAUGAAGAAGCACAGGAGAGAACAUCAGGAAACCUGCAAGAGAAAGAGUGAGCACAAGUUGGGGAGCAUCAGACAGAGGAAGAGGGCAAAGCAGGCUCCCCGCUGAGCAGGGACACUGAUAUGGAGCUCAAUCCCAGGACCCUGAGAUCACAACCCGAGCAGAAGACAGAUGGUUAAUGAAAGAGCCACCCA
rnacentral:lncRNA from 1 species